AGCAGCCGCGGUAAUUCCAGCUCCAAUAGCGUAUAUUAAAGUUGUUGCAGUUAAAAAGCUCGUAGUUGAAUUUCGGGAUCAAAGGAUCGGUCAUGCCUUGGUAUGUACUGGUUUUAUUGGUUCUCACCUUCUAAAGAACCAUAAUGUCAUUCAUUUGAUGUUAUGGGGAAUUAGGACUGUUACCUUGAAAAAAUUAGAGUGUUUAAAGCAGGCUCACGCUUGAAUACAUUAGCAUGGAAUAAUGAAAUAGGACGUUUGAUCCUAUUUUGUUGGUUUCUAGGAUCGACGUAAUGAUUAAUAGGGAUAGUUGGGGGCAUUAGUAUUCAAUUGUCAGAGGUGAAAUUCUUGGAUUUAUUGAAGACUAACUACUGCGAAAGCAUUUGCCAAGGAUGUUUUCAUUAAUCAAGAACGAAAGUUAGGGGAUCGAAGACGAUCAGAUACCGUCGUAGU
rnacentral:misc_RNA from 1 species